UAAAAUGGGCCCUAACACUGAACAAGCCUGAUGUCUGAUCUCGGAAGCUAAGCAGGGUCAGGCCUGGUUAGUACUUGGAUGGGAGACCACCUAGGAAGACCAGGUGCCGUAGGCA
rnacentral:rRNA from 1 species